AGCUAGUUGGUGAGGUAACGGCUCACCAAGGCAACGAUGUCUAGGGGAUCUGAGAGGAUAAUCCCCCACACUGGUACUGAGACACGGACCAGACUCCUACGGGAGGCAGCAGUAAGGAAUAUUGCGCAAUGGACGAAAGUCUGACGCAGCAACGCCGCGUGGGUGAUGAAGUUUUUCGGAACGUAAAACCCUGUCAGGAGGGAAGAACCUCCCGAUUUAUUCGGGACUGACGGUACCUCCAGGGGAAGCUCCGGCCAACUCCGUGCCAGCAGCCGCGGUAACACGGGGGGAGCAAGCGUUGUUCGGAUUUACUGGGCGUAAAGGGCGUGUAGGCGGAUGGGUCAGUCAGAUGUGAAAUCCAAGAGCUUAACUCUUGGCCUGCAUUUGAUACUUCUCAUCUAGAGUAUGGGAGAGGAGAUCGGAAUUUCCUGGUGUAGCGGUGAAAUGCGUAGAUAUCAGAAGAACACCGGUGGCNAGGCGGAUCUCUGGCUAAUACUGACGCUGAUGCGCGAAAGCUGGGGGAGCAAACAGGAUUAGAUACCCUGGUAGUCCCAGCCGUAAACGAUGGGCACUAGGUGUUGGGGGUAUUGAUCCCCUCAGUGCCGGAGUUAACGCAUUAAGUGCCCCGCCUGGGGAGUACGCUCGCAAGGGUGAAACUCAAAGGAAUUGACGGGGGCCCGCACAAGCGGUGGAGCAUGUGGUUUAAUUCGAUGCAACGCGAAGAACCUUACCGGGGUUUGACAUGCCCGUCGUACCUUGAUGAAAGUCGAGGGUCAGUUCGGCUGGACGGUGCACAGGUGCUACAUGGCUGUCGUCAGCUCGUGUCGUGAGAUGUUGGGUUAAGUCCCGCAACGAGCGCAACCCUUACCCUUAGUUGCCAGCACAUAAUGGUGGGAACUCUAAGGGGACUGCCUCGGAUAACGGGGAGGAAGGUGGGGAUGACGUCAAGUCCUCAUGGCCCUUAUGCUCCGGGCUACACACGUGCUACAAUGGUCGGUACAGAGGGCUGCGAAACCGCGAGGUGGAGCUAAUCCCAGAAAGCCGAUCUCAGUUCGGAUUGGAGUCUGCAACUCGACUCCAUGAAGUCGGAAUCGCUAGUAAUCGCGAAUCAGCAGGUCGCGGUGAAUACGUUCCCGGGCCUUGUACACACCGCCCGUCA
rnacentral:rRNA from 1 species